rnacentral:lncRNA from 7 species
UGCAGGUAAAUAUUUUAUGUUCUCCCGACCACCACCAUCUACUUUGGACACCUUUCUAGGAAGUGCUUUUGUGAAUGGCUCGGCUGGCAGAAUUUUUCAUGGAAAGAGCUAAUGUUCAAUACAUCUGCCACAACAGGCUCUCCAUUUGCAGGCUGUUUUCAUGGUCCCAUCACCCUCAGAUUCUCACAAGAAAUAAAGUGGGAAGAUUUGUUCUAUCCAGGAAACAUGGUUUCUGCUCCUCACUGGUAUUCUUGCUUACUGAACUCAGGAUCAUGAGGCUUGGGAGUGCAUGUUAACAUCUCGGACAGUUGUAUGUUGAUGGUGCUUCUCAUCAAAAACCUGUAUCCAUAACAGAGAUCUGAGAAUGGAUAAAGUACAAGACAAGAAAACGAAGUGGAAUAGAUAAAUGAUGGAAGAGUAUUUUGGAAAGAAACUACUGAGAAAGCCAUGCAGAGACACGAAAAGGAUGAUCAUUUAAUAAUUUCAUAUAAGCGUUGUCACGAUCAAGGGAAGAAUGCGAUUCAUUUAAAUUUGGAAGAGAAUCUGAGUGACUGCUUUGCAUCAGUAAACUUCAGAGUGCUCUGUAAUUCAUCGUGCUCAACAGGAAGAAAAACAAGUUGAAGAAAGUGAAUAUAUAAUGCUGUUAGAACAGUUUUGAAUUUAGCUGAACUUUACUCUUCAGUUCACUGACUGGUGUGACAUUAAGAACACAAGAAAGGUCAGUUAAAUGGCAAUAUCAAAAAGUUUCUUAAAUUACAAGAUGGCUCUUGCCUGUGUCCAGGCUACUGGUGAAUCCUUAGCUAAUUAUCAUGGUAUGCCAAUAGACAAACACUCUACUCUAGAUGUACAAAUAUGUUCUUUCAAUGUUAAAAUUAUUUGCAGUGGUAGAGCAACAUUUCCCAAACUUCCACCAUGAUCAAACAGAAAGCAGAUUUUGAAAAGGUAUUAUUUAACGAUUUCUUUUUUUAAGUUUUGAAAGAUGGAGGCUUUGAUUUCUGUAAAGCUGUUUAUGGUACUCCUUAAGAUUUGACCUCUACCUUAAUGCUAUUAUAAGCGGGAAUAUAAUUAAUAUUUCUUUCCAGCAUAGGGCCAACGAGUCAGUAGUUCCUCAGGAGAGGAGAGCAUUAUACGUAUGCCAAGUAGGAGCACCACAUUUUGGGGUCCUGUUUGUACCAACCUGGGUUAAAGUUUGUUAUACAAGGGGGCUGUAAGCAAAAUCUUGAAAGUGCAGAAAUAAAAGACUGUUUGAUUUAC